AAUGAACGCUGACAGAAUGCUUAACACAUGCAAGUCUACUUGAAUUUGGGUUUUUUCACUUAGAUUUGGGUGGCGGACGGGUGAGUAACGCGUAAAGAACUUGCCUCACAGCUAGGGACAACAUUUGGAAACGAAUGCUAAUACCUGAUAUUAUGAUUAUAAGGCAUCUUAGAAUUAUGAAAGCUAUAUGCGCUGUGAGAGAGCUUUGCGUCCCAUUAGCUAGUUGGAGAGGUAACGGCUCACCAAGGCGAUGAUGGGUAGCCGGCCUGAGAGGGUGAACGGCCACAAGGGGACUGAGACACGGCCCUUACUCCUACGGGAGGCAGCAGUGGGGAAUAUUGGACAAUGGACCAAGAGUCUGAUCCAGCAAUUCUGUGUGCACGAUGACGUUUUUCGGAAUGUAAAGUGCUUUCAGUUGGGAAGAAAAAAAUGACGGUACCAACAGAAGAAGUGACGGCUAAAUACGUG
rnacentral:rRNA from 1 species